AUGAAAGGGACGUCUGUAGCAAUGGCUUGCGUGAAUGAAAACGACUGGAAGGUGUUAAGCAAUGGAGAUCUGCUCCAUACAGAUCUACUUCUCUUGCGAGUAGGUUUUUGCAAGUACAAAUCUACUCAUCUUCGCAAAAACCUAAAUGGAUACGACACGUUGGAAGAAGAGCAUGUCCAAGAGAGUAGCGGCUUCCCUGGUGGUGGUAAGGUGGCUGAGACGGUAAAGAUGGAUGACAAAGGACCUUCUCUUUGCAAAUGA